AGAGAGAGAAGGAGAGAGAGAUAGGUGGAACAGUCCUUUCCGCUCUUGAGAGACGAUUAAGCGAGACGGCCGGUAUCUUCCUGACAGGGAGGUGAUGAGCCGAUGAAGCGUGUCAAAUUUAAAGAGCGUGAGACGCAGCUUCCACUUGCACUUCGAUUGAAUCCUUUCACAGUUUCCGCAUUGACUCAGCUCAUAAUCACAGGCAGAAUUUUAAUUUCUGCUCGCCACAUGUGCUUCCAGCUCUACACACAAAUUCAAAACAACAACAACACUUUCGACUCUGUGAAUUUGGCCUUUGGUGUCCCGUGGUAGAAUUGUUUCGCUGCAUGGUCAUUUUGUACGUUACGGACGAUGUAUGCACCAUAAGCAUCAUUAAUACAGUAUACAAGCUUUGUUGAAGCUAUUUUGGAGGUUUGCGUGGCAAAAGAUUAGAGUUUGAAAUUGUUUUUAUUGAAAGUUAAUCCCAGUUGCACAUAUACUUGGAUAUGAGGGUGGAGGGUGAGGGUGGAGGAAAUACAAUCACAACGGAGAAAUCAAACACUUUCUUUCUGCUCCUCGUCCUCAUGAGUCUAUGUCCAUUUAUCCAUUUCACGUGUUGAUUCUGAAUGAUGAUAAGACUCCACAUUCCUGCUCCCCCUCUCAUCUUCCUUAACCCAGUUCAAUCAACCAUCAUCCUGGAUUCCUGGAGAAAACUGCUUUUCUCAAGGAGGACCCCAAAGAUCGAAUAUAGAGAUGUGUGUGUGUGUAACAGGCCGAUUGCUUGGCCUCUGGUGUUGCCGCCUGCAUCUUUCCCGAGGUCCGCUCUUCCAAACAACUUCACGCUCAACGCGGCACUUCCUUGGUUCCUGAGCAACGCACACACCAAGACUGAAUUAGAUCGGACGAAUUGUUCUCGAGAAAGUCCCUUGCAAAUAUGCCCCGUAUACAUCUCUCUGUCUUUAUCUGUUCUUGAAUGUGCUGUAGCGAGCUUUACCCAGCAUGCCGUUCAGUGAUGUACCAUUUAAUUCUGUAACGAGCACAGAGAGUGAGUUGUAUCCAGGAUGGCGUUCACACCGUGUGUAAAUAACUAAUAAAUAUGUCCCAUAGAUCUUGAGAGCUCAGACUCAACGCUGCACUUCUUUGUGUCCUCAGCGAUACAUAUUGGACAUCAAAACUAUUCACACCAGCAGCCCUUUUUUCAAUACAAGGUUGGAAUAGAUUUGGGCAGGCAGAGGACCAACAAUCUUAUUGACCCAAAGCAGCGUCUGGCAGUCCGUCUGAGGUAAAUUGUCGUUAAGCCUAAGCUACUGUAAGAUAUUUUAUUGAGUUUCCUUUUAGCUAAAGGCUCUGAGCAAAUUAGAAUUCCCUCUGGUACACAGAUAAGCAGUUGACUGUAUAUGUCUACAGCUGUUAUUGUGAAAGGUAAGAACAGAAGGAGAGGAUCUGGUAUGUGCUGCCUUCGCCAAGUGAGAAAUGGGGUUGAUAAAGUUCCCCGCCUUGGUUUUAGUUUUACAGAUCAAGCUCAAAAAAGAUUGAAAUGAAGAAAGGUUGCUCCAGAUGUGAGUAAGAUAACUGUUUGUACUCCCGAAAUACACUCAAGUAAAAGUGGAAAUUAUUCUCUUAUAACUUACCCACCUCUCAAAUGGGGAAAAUGUAAUAAUUAUUAUAUUUUAUGGGCUUCGAUUAAGUUUUAUAGGAGGUUUGGGAAGGACUGGUUUUUAAUUACAUAGUACAUUAUAAGGAAACAGCCUCCACUUAA